GAUGAACGCUGGCGGCGUGCCUAAUACAUGCAAGUCGAGCGAACAGACGAGGAGCUUGCUCCUUUGAUGUUAGCGGCGGACGGGUGAGUAACACGUAGGUAACCUACCUAUAAGACUGGGAUAACUUCGGGAAACCGGAGCUAAUACCGGAUAAUAUGUCGAACCGCAUGGUUCGAUAGUGAAAGAUGGCUUUGCUAUCACUUAUAGAUGGACCUGCGCCGUAUUAUCUAGUUGGUAGGGUAAUGGCUUACCAAGGCAACGAUACGUAGCUGACCUGAGAGGGUGAUCGGCCACACUGGAACUGAGACACGGUCCAGACUCCUACGGGAGGCAGCAGUAGGGAAUCUUCCGCAAUGGGCGAAAGCCUGACGGAGCAACGCCGCGUGAGUGAUGAAGGUCUUCGGAUCGUAAAACUCUGUUAUUAGGGAAGAACAAACGUGUAAGUAACUGUGCACGUCUUGACGGUACCUAAUCAGAAAGCCACGGCUAACUACGUGCCAGCCGCCGCCGUAA
rnacentral:rRNA from 1 species